rnacentral:ncRNA from 1 species
UUUCCCCACCGUGGUCAUUUGAGCCGGCCGGCUUGCCGCCACGUAAAACAACGGGCUAAAAUGGUCGGGUGGAUGCGGGA